rnacentral:rRNA from 1 species
CGCGUAGGUGGUAGUGCAAGUCUGGGGUGGAAUCCCAGGGCUUAACCCUGGAACUGCCUUGGAAACUGUAUUACUUGAGUCAGUGAGGGGAGGGUAGAAUUCCUGGUGUAGCGGUGAAAUGCGUAGAUAUCAGGAGGAAGGCCUGUGGCGAAGGCGGCCCUCUGGCGCUGAACUGACGCUGAGGCGCGAAAGCGUGGGUAGCAAACAGGAUUAGAUACCCUGGUAGUCCACGCCCUAAACGGUGGGUACUAGGUGUGGGGCUCGUAAGGGUUCUGUGCCGAAGCGAAAGCAUUAAGUACCCCGCCUGGGGAGUACGGCCGCAAGGUUGAA